GACGAACGCUGGCGGCGUGCUUAACACAUGCAAGUCGAGCGGUAAGGCCCUUUCGGGGGUACACGAGCGGCGAACGGGUGAGUAACACGUGGGUGACCUGCCCUUAGCUCUGGGAUAAGCCUGGGAAACUGGGUCUAAUACCGGAUAUGACUCCAUGACGCAUGUUGUGGGGUGGAAAGCCUUGUGCGGCUAGGGAUGGGCCUGCGGCCUAUCAGCUUGUUGGUGGGGUGANGGCCUACCAAGGCGACGACGGGUAGCCGGCCUGAGAGGGCGACCGGCCACACUGGGACUGAGACACGGCCCAGACUCCUACGGGAGGCAGCAGUGGGGAAUCUUGCGCAAGU
rnacentral:rRNA from 1 species